AUGAGCCAUACAAUGAAGCUAUGGGAGAGAGUCAUUGAGCACCGCUUAAGAAGAAUGACAAGCGUGACCAAAAAUCAGUUUGGUUUCAUGCCUGGGAGGUCGACCAUGGAAGCCAUUUUCUUGGUACGACAACUUAUGGAGAGAUAUAGGGAGCAUAAGAAGGACUUGCAUAUGGUGUUCAUUGACUUGGAGAAGGCCUAUGAUAAGAUACCGCGGAAUGUCAUGUGGUGGGCCUUGGAGAAACACAAAGUCCCAGCAAAGUACAUUACCCUCAUCAAGGACAUGUACAAUAAUGUUGUGACAAGUGUUCGAACAAGUGAUGUCGACACCGAUGACUUCCCGAUUAAGAUAGGACUGCAUCAGGGUCAGCUUUGA
rnacentral:rRNA from 1 species